UGAUACACUGCAGUUGGAAUUACAUCGGGAAGGAUUGUAUUUAGACUCAUCCGUCAAGAGACUCCCAAGGGGUCCAGAAGGACCCAAAGCAUCCAAGGACAGAGCGGACCACACGGGACCACAGAGCCUCGCUGGGUUCAUCGGUACUGCGGGGCAGGCCCUGGAGAUGGGCGGCCGGGACAGCCACUGGCCUUGAGGGGUCCACAUUGAGAUGCCAACACUACUAAGUUGCAUCUGUCAUGCGUCAGUGCUAUUGUGAGGCGGGCAUGAGGAGCCAACAGAAGAAGGCGGACCCCCGUGGUCCCCUUCGUGGUCCCCUUCGGCAGAGAUGUGAUGACUAAACAGGUGACAACCUGCUUCCCUUCAGAAGUCACCUCGACUAACAAAGCUUCUAAAUAGGCUGGUAAACGACUCUCUAUAAAUGCACCAAACAGUUCUCUCCCGCCCCAGCAUGGAAUGUGGCCCGUAGCCACUCAGGGAAUCGGUCCCCAAACCGCAAACAUUGCUGGUGGCCCACACAAGACACGCAAGCCUCAUCUGGCUUGGCAGCCCUUGGGACCUGGAGUGACAUCAGGCUUGGGAUUUGGAAUGGGAAAAUGUGGGCAGCCAGUCCUCGGUGAUGUGGCUGCGGGAUGUUCACCAUAAAUCCUGCCAACACCUCCUAGGUGAUAUUUCCCUCUAAGUCCUUCCCCUGACACCAUCAGCACAGCAGGAGCUGGAAAAACCUGACCUUGAAAAUCACAGAAUGUCAUUACCUCUUGGCGAAACGCAGGGAACGCGGAGCCCAGCUCAGUUUUACUGAUGACUUCCUGGAGGAGAGAGAAGGCUGAAGAUCUAUGCUUUCUUCGGCCCAAACUUAGCCUAAAAGGGGAAACCACGAAGGGGGCAUUUUAAAGGACACCACAGAGGAGAUAGCUCAACUAUCUGAAGAGGACUGAUCAAGCCUCACCCCGUCACUUUGGACCUGUGCGUCCUUGAGCUCUCCCCACCCCUCCCCAGCUGCUGAGGACCCAGCCAGUGACCUCCACACCCCAGCACGCCUCAUCCCGGCCACAUCCGAGGCACCGCCCAGCCCUCACCUGCUCUCCUCGCUCUCCAGCAGCUUGCGGUAGGUGGCGAUCUCAAAGUCCAGGCCCAGCUUGAUGAUCAUGAGGUCCUGGUACUCGCGCAGCUGCCGGACCAUGUCGUGCUUGGCUCGCUGCAGGGCGGCCUCCAGCCAGGCCAGCUUGCCCUGGGCACUGUCUGAGGCUCCGUCCUCCCGCAGGGCUGGUGGUUCUGUGGCUCUGUCCAGUUCACAGGGCUGGGGGCAAAGGGAAGACCACAGACAGGACAUCCUUGGCUGCUACCCUCCCCGCCCCGUAAGGAUCCAGACCUUUCUGAGAGGCUGGAGGACCAAUGAAGGAUUAGAGAUCAUUGUAAGGAAUGGGCCUGCCUGUUCCGAAAAACGCGGCUGUGUGUCUGCCCGGCUCCCAGGGUGGACCCUAGGGGCCAGCCACCUGGGCUGCCUGAGACAGAGCCUUUCGCAUCUAGAAUUCGAGUCUUCUACCAGGAGCUAGGAUCCGGGAAGCAUCAAAUGCUGAGAUUAUUGCUCCAUAAAGAGAAACUAGCAGGAAGCAUACCCUUUCCUCACAAGAAACCAGCACCUGUAGUCUCUGGGGAAAUACAGCAACGAUAAACGCUUGCCCUGCGAGGUGUGCUUGGUGCGUAGGAAACGGGGUGGGAGGGGUGGGAGUCAGAACAGCUGAGGCUGGUGGGAGACUGAACCGUGACAGGGCCACCCGUUCGCUGUGCCACCCCCUGGAACCCGGACAGUUUGCCCCUCUCCUCAUGGUCAUCAGUUCCUGGAGACAGGAGAACCCCUCCGGGCCUGGGGCACCUGUAUCUGCAGGGAGCAGACCCCUUCCCUCUGCAGAGCCGUGGGACAGGUGCCUUUCGUCUUCCACAUGCCAGCCAAGAAGAUGAGAAACGGCAAAGGGCCCUCUGCCUCUGUGUCGAAGGAUGCAACCUGGGGCGGGGAGCGGGGAGCCGGGGGGUGUCUGUGGCCCACAGAGGGAGCGUGACCCCGUGUGAAGGCGACAGAGAAGACAGAGGCCUCUCUCUUCUCCAGCCAAAUGUCACCAAACCUGCACAUUUUUAAAGAGAACCCAGAAAGCCGGACGGCCAGGCAAAGUCUUGUGCAAUUUCUGAAAAAUACACACGGAUACAAAAAUGUGCAUACACACGAAAGAUGAAAUGCGUGCAAGCCUCCGUGUUUGUACGUAUUUCACCUGCGUGUUAACACUUGCCCACACGAAAGGCAGAGCGCCCUGGGCCGAUGCGGCGGGGCGCACGCUUACAGCCACACUUGCGUGUGCUCAGACACAGGGAGAAACUCUGCCCGUGUGUUCCGGAGGAUGAGGAUGAGCAGUCGGCUUGUCGGAGAUAAUGGACGCCCUCCCGCCAUUCGUCACCCUGGGGCACCCCCCAGCCACCCCUCACCUGACUCUUAACGCCGUCCACCUCCGCAGUCAGCCGCUGGAUGGCCUGGUUAAGCCUGUUCAGCUCCUCCUUGCUGUGCCUCGGGCUGUGCAUGUGUUUCUGCACGGUCGCCUGCACCUCCUCGCACUGUGGGGGGCACAGGGGGAGGACCGGAGAGGCAGGGAGAGCCCACAGGGACACUCAGCUGAGGCCAGCAAGACAGCCCCAGUGCCAACCCGUCCACCUCCGUCUUGGACAGAGCAUCUAACUGCUCUGGGCCUCUGUUUCUCCAUCUGUGAAAUGGGGGUGAUAAUCUCUUCUAUCGCCAAGGGUUGUGGAGAGAAUGCAAUGCGCUUGGCGGGCACCCUGGUGGGCACUGUUGGGUCUGGAGAGGCCGAAGGGGAUGGCAGCAGAGGGCACGAGGAAGGAGGCAGGGUGGUAAUCUGUGGAGGCUGUGGGCUUGGGAUUGCAUAGGGUUCAUCCCAGGCGUUGGGAUAGCGAAACUUCAGGAAAUCAGUUACGGUCAUUCAGUGCAGGCGAUCACCUCAAUUAACACAAAAGCCAUUUUGUAAAACCCUAGCAGAAAUUCCUAAUUUGAAAAAUACUUUUAAAAAAUCUAAGAAUAUGGGCACCUGGGUGGUCCAGUCGGUUAAGUGUCUGCCUUCAGCUCAGGUCGUGAUCCCGGGGUCCUGGGAUGGAGCCCACAUCGGG